rnacentral:rRNA from 1 species
GGAGUUAGCCGGUGCUUCUUCUGUGAGUGAUGUCCUUCCUGCCGGCUAUUAACCCGCAGGCCUUCUUCCUCACUGAAAGUGCUUUACAACCCGAAGGCCUUCUUCACACACGCGGCAUGGCUGGAUCAGGGUUGCCCCCAUUGUCCAAUAUUCCCCACUGCUGCCUCCCGUAGGAGUCUGGGCCGUGUCUCAGUCCCAGUGUGGCUGAUCAUCCUCUCAGACCAGCUACGGAUCGUCGCCUUGGUGAGCCGUUACCUCACCAACCAGCUAAUCCGACAUAGGAUCAUCCGAUAGCGCGAGGCCCGAAGGUCCCCCGCUUUCCCCCGUAGGGCGUAUGCGGUAUUAGCCUGGGUUUCCCCAGGUUAUCCCCCACUACCGGGCAGAUUCCUAUGCAUUACUCACCCGUCCGCCGCUCGCCACCAGGGAGCAAGCUCCCCGUGCUGCCGCUCGACUUGCAUGUGUAGCUCGCCGCCACGCGUCAUCUGAGCGAGAUACAACUACUCGA